UCAUCUUAGAUGGACCAGGAUGGAUCUACCAGCUGGCCCAGUACUCAUUCACAGAAGGAAGUACUGAGCAAUAGAAAGGCAGGAGGAACAUGAAAGCCUGCAGCCAUGGGUUUGGAAACUGAGCCCCUGGCCAGCAACUUUUCCUGUUCCUCCUGGAGGACCAGCAGGGCGAUGCGGGUGCUCAGAAGGGCUUCAUCAGCGCAGAGCAGCUGCUGCUGGAGCUGAAGGCCGGGGGCAUCCACCUGGAUCAGGAGGUGGCCGUCAGACUGGAGCUGCAGCACAUUCCUCCUCUGGACCUGCUGGACUUCUUGGCCUACCUGCCCCUCUUCAUGCUCAUUCACAAAUCUGUGAUUUCCAACCCUUUUGAUGACUCCAGCAACCUUUGACCUCAGCACUGUGUGGCUGACAUCUCAGCUGAGCCACGUCUGCUUGUAUGAAAAGACGACAUGUGACAAACAGAAAAAUGAUUUUAAAAAGGACAUUUGUGGUGGAGAUUUAAAUUAUUUCUUUUAAAUUAUGCAACUUUGUUGCAUUUCUCUUCUAGCUUUAACCUUUAAAUUUGCUGGUAACAACCAGCAAGAGUGAGUUUAGAGUGGAAGAAACCAUUAUACCUUGCUAUCUCUGCUGCACCUGAAACUUAUUUCUUUCAUUUUAAAUUGCUCUAAAUUAGACAUUCAGCAUUAGUUUGGGUUUCAUAAAAUGUAUAUAUAUAAAUAAGCACUAAUAUUAGGCAAUUAGAUAUUUAGAUCUUAAAGACGAACUCGCUAAAAGAAUGCUUUCACAUACUAAUGAUAAAAACUAUGAAUACAGAAUGUUUAGUAAUUUAACAGACCAUCAGAGACAAGUGUUUGUUGUUGGACGUUAAAAAAUAACAGAAGCCUUGGUGAUAAAAGCCGCCAGAACAGAAGUUACACUGGAUGUUUAUGACACACUGAUAAAAGAUAAGUCGAUCAUUAGACUGACGAUCCCUUAGGGACUUCUGUAGGGUAAUGUUCAAACAAUCUCUCUCCUCGACGGCUGUGUAAACACAUAUUUCCAUAUGAAUACUUUGAAUAUAAACAAGAGUCAAGAUUUUGGAAGCCAAAAUGUUUUUGACCUUUUAUAGUUCAAUUAAUGAAUAAACCAUGGAAAUACAGUCGUGAAACCAUCAGUUAUCUUCUGUCAAGGAUUCAGAUUUUUAUUGUCUCCUUUAUUUUUUUUUGCAUUAAUAAUGUAAACACUCUGCAGCAUGUGUGUGUGUUAUUUCAAUUCCCUGAAAAUAGAAAUGAAUUUACCCUGCACUUCCCACUCCAUCUCUCAUCUGUACGAGUGGCUGAAUUUUAUUGGCAUCGCACAGUCUCAGGUGGUCACAUUGCUGCUGGUCUCUUCCUGUGCGUAUGUCCUUUGCGUCACACAUGUGCUGAGUAUGUUCUGUUUCCAGCCUCUGUCGUUUCUCUGAGGCAUGUGGAUCACGUCACAGAGCAGUAAAGUGCUGUCUGUGGUCCUGAAAUCUUCAGUGGCUGCUGUAGUUUCAGAGUCUGACGCUCUGAUUCAUGUAACAAGUGCUCAUUGUUGUGGAGUUUAUUAAAAAAAAAGACACAAAAACAUUUAAGAAAAAUGCAGCACCGCAGCAGAGCUAUUGGCUACCGUCCAGUUCAGUCCAACUUAAUCAACACUGAUGAAUGAUGUUCGCUAAGAUACUCAACUGAUGUGGUUUGAGCCUUUGUUUUGCCUCAGCUUUGCCAAUUAGAUAUGGCCGCGCUCUCCUGCCGCUUGUGCACGCUUGACAGACUGCCGCUGAGGGAAACAUAAUGAGCUGUGACAGGCAGCAAACCUUUGUAAGCUCUAUGUCACCAGAGAAAACAGUCAAAACUGCUUUUAUUGUGACUCUUUAGAUGCAUGUUUUGAACUCCAUCUAGUUUGAAAAUGUGGCUGCAGGUGAGCUUUAGGGUCUCUUACCAGAGACUACAGGAGGAAAUGUACUGUCCAUUGUUCCUGCUAAAUAAAUACAGCUAAAUAAUAAAAAAGUAAACAUUAACUUUCAGCAUCCUUCCCUUCCCUCCAAUAAACACUUUCCUGCGGA